rnacentral:rRNA from 1 species
UUAUAAUUUAAAGAUAAAAAAUUUUUAUUUAUAGUUAUGGAAAAUUUUUGUUCAUUAUAUAUUUUAUUAUAAAACAAAUUUAUUCUUCUCAGUUAUGGAAAAUAAAAUUAAUGAAAAGAAUUAUUAAUUUAAGUACCUUUUGUAUCAGGGCUUAAGGAAUAAAUUUGAUUAUAUCUUUUUCCCGAAAAAAAAGGAUCUUGUAAAAUUAAAGGUUAAAGUUAAAAUUUUAUCUUAAAAUUUUUACAAGAUGUGAUAAAUCAUUCGGCUUUUUUUAUAUCUGGUUAUUCAUUAUAAGAAUUUAAUUCUUUUACUAUAAGUAUUGUGAAAUAUUUGUAGAAAUAAAUUAUUUCAGGGAUAAGCUUGAAAUAUAUCAAAUAAAAUAAAAUUCAAUAAAAAAGUGAAUUUUUUUAAUUAUUGUUAAAAACUGAAUUAUUUUUAUUAAAUUUAAAUAAUUAAUAAUAAUCUUAAGAUAAGUAAUAAAUAUAAUAAUUUUUAAUGAACUAGACAAAAAAUUAACCCACCUGUUUAUUAAAAACAUGUCCUUUAGAAAAAAAAUUAAAGGUCUGACCUGCCCCCUGCUUAAACAAGUUAAUGGCUGCGGUAUUUGUGACUGUACAAAGGUAGCAUAAUAAAUCGUCCUUUAAUUAAGGUCUAGAAUGAAUGGUUUGAUGAGGUUAAAUUUGUAUCAAUUGUUAUAAAUUAAUUUUUUCUGUUAGUAAAAAAACUGACAUUUUUCGAAGGGACGAGAAGACCCUUUAGAUCUUAAAAAUCGUACGACAAGAUAAUGUGGAACGAUUUUUUUCUUGGGAUGAGACUAAUAAAAUAAACUAUAGUAAAAAAAAAGAUAAAUAAAUCAAAAAAGAAAGAAAUAAUUUUAUAUUUAUAAAAGAAAAAGUUACCUAAGGGAUAACAGCAUAAUAUUAAUAAGAAGAUCUUACUCUUAUUAAUGUUUAUGACCUCGAUGUUGAAUUAAAAUUUCUUCAAAUAGAAAAAGAUUUGAUAGUUAGCCUGUUCGGCUAUUAAAAUUUUACAUGAUUUGAGUUUAGACCGACGUGAGUCAGGUCAGAUUCUAUCUUUCGAUUUGGUAUUCUUCUUUUGUACGAAAGGAUCAAGAAGAAAUAAUUAUUAUU